UUCGAGAGAGAAACGAAGUCACAUUUUGGGUCUCCCCCAAUAUCAAUCUCAUCAAGAAAUAUUACACUCUCCAAAACGCCAACCCCCCUUCUCUCUCUCUUUCAUUUCUCGUUGCUCACUUCACUUCGGGGCCAUUGAAGCUCCGCUUACCUGAGAUCUCUUUCUCUCUCCUCACUCACUCUCUCGUUUCGCAAAUUGUUCAUCGCUCGAUUCUAAAAUUCGAUUCCGAUUUCGAUCACUACUCACACUUGAUUGUCGGCAGAUUUAAUCCUCCAACAAUGCCUCUCCGCCUCAAUAUCAAGAGGAAACUUGCUCAAAGAUCAGAGAGAGUAAAGUCUGUGGAUCUACAUCCAACAGAACCAUGGAUAUUAGCGAGUCUUUAUUCAGGAACUGUUGUUAUCUGGAACUACCAGUCACAGUCCAUGGCAAAGUCGUUCGAAGUGUCUGAGUUACCAGUUAGGUCAGCAAAGUUUAUUUCACGGAAACAAUGGGUUGUUGCCGGAGCGGAUGACAUGUAUAUACGUGUGUACAACUACAACACCAUGGAUAAAGUUAAAGUAUAUGAGGCUCAUACAGAUUAUAUUAGGUGUGUAGCUGUACACCCCACACUCCCAUAUGUGCUUUCAUCAUCUGAUGAUAUGCUCAUUAAGCUUUGGGAUUGGGAGAAGGGUUGGGUUUGCACUCAAAUAUUUGAAGGACAUUCCCACUAUGUGAUGCAAGUCACUAUUAACCCCAAAGAUACCAACACCUUUGCCAGUGCUUCCCUUGAUCGUACCAUAAAGAUCUGGAAUCUUGGCUCACCUGAUCCAAAUUUUACUUUGGAUGCCCAUCUAAAAGGGGUAAAUUGUGUUGACUACUUUACCGGCGGUGACAAGCCAUAUCUGAUUACUGGUUCUGAUGAUCACACUGCGAAGGUCUGGGAUUAUCAGACAAAAAGCUGUGUUCAGACUUUGGAAGGGCACACACACAACGUUUCUGCUGUCUGUUUUCAUCCAGAACUUCCCAUAAUUAUUACCGGUUCUGAGGAUGGAACAGUUCGAAUAUGGCAUUCAACUACGUACAGGCUUGAGAAUACCCUUAACUAUGGUCUUGAAAGGGUUUGGGCUAUCGGAUACAUGAAGAGCUCUCGUCGUGUUGUGAUCGGGUAUGAUGAAGGAACCAUAAUGGUGAAAAUGGGUCGUGAAAUUCCUGUUGCUAGCAUGGAUAAUAGUGGAAAGAUUAUAUGGGCUAAGCAUAACGAGAUUCAGACUGUGGAUAUCAGGCGUGUUGGUGCUGGUUAUGAGGUGACUGAUGGUGAAAGGUUGCCAUUGGCGGUAAAGGAGUUGGGAUCUUGUGAUCUUUACCCGCAGUUUUUAAAGCACAACCCCAAUGGGAGGUUUGUGGUGGUUUGUGGAGAUGGAGAGUACAUCAUUUACACGGCUGUCGCUUGGAGGAAUAGGUCUUUUGGUUCAGCUUUGGAGUUUGUUUGGUCAUCUGAAGGAGAAUAUGCUGUUAGAGAAAGCACUUCCAAGAUCAAGAUUUUCAGCAAAAAUUUCCAGGAAAAGAAGAGUAUCCGUCCCACUUUUUCUGCAGAUCGUAUAUAUGGUGGAACUUUGUUGGCCAUGUGCUCUAAUGAUUUCAUUUGUUUCUAUGACUGGGCUGAAUGCAGAUUUAUCCGGAGGAUUGAUGUCAAUGUUAAAAAUCUUUACUGGGCUGAUAGUGGUGACUUGGUGGCUAUUGCUAGUGACACAUCUUUCUACAUCCUCAAGUACAAUCGCGAUGCUGUGGCCUCCUACGUGGAUAGCGGGAAGCCAAUUGAUGAACAAGGCUUGGAGGAAGCAUUUGAACUUCUCCAUGAAACAAAUGAACGUGUCAGAACAGGAAUUUGGGUUGGAGAUUGUUUCAUUUAUAAUAACUCCUCCUGGAGGCUUAAUUACUGUGUUGGUGGUGAGGUAACCACAAUGUUUCACUUGGACCGUCCAAUGUACCUAUUGGGCUACCUUGCUAGUCAGAGUCGGGUGUAUCUUAUUGACAAAGAAUUCAAUGUUAUUGGAUACACAUUACUCCUUAGCUUGAUUGAAUACAAGACUCUUGUGAUGCGUGGAGAUAUUGAACGUGCCGAUGAGCUGUUACCUACAAUUCCAAAAGAGCACCAUAAUAGUGUGGCUCGAUUCCUUGAAUCACGUGGUAUGGUCGCGGAGGCUCUUGAAGUGGCGACUGACCCUGAUUAUAAGUUUGACCUUGCCAUACAACUCAGCAGACUAGAAAUUGCAAAGGAAAUAGCUACAGAAGUCCAGAGUGAGUCAAAGUGGAAGCAGUUGGGAGAAUUGGCUUUGUCUUCAGGAAAGUUUGAAAUGGCAGAAGAAUGCCUGAAGAAUGCGAUGGAUUUCAGUGGCAUGUUGCUGCUUUAUUCAUCAAUUGGAGAUGCCGAUGGAAUUUCAAAGCUUGCUUCCCUAGCUAAAGAGCAAGGGAAAAACAAUGUUGCUUUCCUUUGCUUAUUUAUGUUGGGUAAAUUGGAAGAGUGUCUUCAGCUAUUGAUAGACAGUAACCGAAUACCUGAGGCUGCUUUGAUGGCACGUUCUUAUCUUCCCAGCAAAGUUUCAGAAAUUGUUGAAUUAUGGAGAAAGGAUCUCAACAAGGUAAAUCCAAAGGCUGCUGAAUCGUUGGCAGAUCCGCAGGAGUAUCCAAAUUUGUUUGAGGACUGGCAAAUUGCUCUUGCUGUUGAAUCUAAAGUUUCUGAGAUAAGGGGCAAUUAUCCUCCCGCUGAGCAAUACUUGCAAUAUGCCGAGAAAUCAAAAAUUGAUCUGGUUGAAGCCUUUAAGAGCAUGCAAAUAGAGGAAGAUCAACCCCUCGAAAAUGGAGACACAGUGCACGAGGACGAGGUGUAUGAAGACGAGGUGCAUGAAGAUGAGAAUGAAGCAGAUGAAAGUCAGGAAGAGGGUGUUGUUGUAGAUGCUGAUUCUAAUGAUGGUGCUGUGCUCGUCAACGGUAACGAAACCGAAGAAUGGGGUACGAAUAAUGACGGAACCCCAUCAGCUUAAAGGCAAUUGGUUGGGCCAGUGUUGAAAAUCCAAAUUUUGUCUCUGUGCUUACUCAACAUCCAUAAGGUCCCUAAAACUGCUGGUUUUGGCUUGUACACAUCUUUGCUUAAGCAGGUUUGGACGGGACGGAAGGUUAAGGGGCUGGAUUAUUCAAUCGGGUUGUUUUGUAGCGCUUGGAAUUUCCGAUGAAGGGUCACAUUUUAGAUACAGCUAUUCAUAUUUCUGUUUCUUUUAUCUUUUUAGUUAAUUUUCAUAGGAUAUUCUUUGUGGCCUUCUCCUAACCAUCUUUAAAAGAGUAAAAUACAAAUUGUUAUUGUGAAUGUAGAAAGUUUUUUCCCCUUAUAUAUAUAUAGUAUGCGUUGUUUUUUUUAGUUUAGGCUGAUCAGCCCAUAAUAUUUGAUCUACGUAUUUGGGUUUGUAAGUUGCGGCACAGUUUAAUAGGAGAAUUCUGCAGAGGCCAGUCUCUAUUGAGUGUAAUAGAGUUUUGUCCUGUGAGAGAGUAUGCUAAUAAAUAUUGUGUAUUCGACUUUUUUUUUUUGGUAUUUACAGACUAGUUAAUCUUAAGAGAUUUAAUUUUGAUA